ACCUGGCUGGCUGAGUUGGGAGAGCAUGUAACUCUUGAUUUCUGGAUUGUGAGUUCAAACCUCACGCUGGGUG
rnacentral:tRNA from 1 species